GAGUGUAGCUCAGCUGGUUAAGAGCGUUCGCCUGAUAAGCGAGAGGUCGGAAGUUCGAGUCUUCUCAUUCGC
rnacentral:tRNA from 1 species